rnacentral:rRNA from 1 species
CCUACGGGAGGCAGCAGUGAGGAAUAUUGGUCAAUGGACGAGAGUCUGAACCAGCCAAGUAGCGUGAAGGAUGACUGCCCUAUGGGUUGUAAACUUCUUUUAUAUGGGAAUAAAACGUUCCACGUGUGGGAUUUUGUAUGUACCAUAUGAAUAAGGAUCGGCUAACUCCGUGCCAGCAGCCGCGGUAAUACGGAGGAUCCGAGCGUUAUCCGGAUUUAUUGGGUUUAAAGGGAGCGUAGGUGGAUUGAUAAGUCAGAUGUGAAAGUUUGCGGCUCAACCGUUAAAUUGCAGUUGAAACUGGCAGUCUUGAGUACAGGAGAGGUGGGCGGAAGUCGUGGUGUAGCGGUGAAAUGCUUAGAUAUCACGAAGAACUCCGAUUGCGAAGGCAGUUCACUGGACUGCAACUGACACUGAGGCUCGAAAGUGUGGGUAUCAAACAGGAUUAGAUACCCGUGUAGUC